GACGAACGCUGGCGGCGUGCCUAAUACAUGCAAGUAGAACGCAGUUGCGCACGGGUGAGUAACGCGUAGGUAACUGCCUCAUUGCGGGGGUUAAAUAUUGGAAACGAUUGCUAAUACCGCCUACUGUGAGAUGGACCUGCGUGGUUUUAGCUCGUUGGUGAGGGAAAGGCUCACGAAGGCGACGAGACAUAGCCGACUUGGGAGGGUGGUCGGCCCAACCUGGACUUAGACACGGCCCAGACUCCUACGGGAGGCAGCAGUAGGGAAUCUUCGGCAAAGGACGGAAGUCUGACCGAGCAAAGGCGCGUGAGGGGAGAAGGGUUUCGGGGCGUAAAGCUCUGUUGUGAGGGAAGCGGUAACUAACCAGAAAGGGACGGCUAACUACGUGCCAGCAGCCGCGGUAAUUC
rnacentral:rRNA from 1 species